rnacentral:rRNA from 1 species
UGUCUAAGUAUAAGCAAUUAUACGGCGAAACUGCGAAUGGCUCAUUAAAUCAGUUAUCGUUUAUUUGAUAGUACCUGAUUACUUGGAUAACCGUGGUAAUUCUAGAGCUAAUACAUGCUAAAAAUCUCGACUUGCGGAGGGGUGUCUUUGUUAGAUUAAAAACUAAUGCCCUCCGGGGCUUGUGGGUGAUUCAUAAUAACUUUUCGAAUCGCAUGGCCUUGUGCCGGCGAUGGUCCAUUCAAAUUUCUGCCCUAUCAACUUUCGAUGGCAGGGUCUUGGCCUGCCAUGGUCACAACGGGUAACGGAGGGUUAGGGCUCGAUCCCGGAGAAGGAGCCUGAGAAACGGCUACUACAUCCAAGGAAGGCAGCAGGCGCGCAAAUUACCCAAUCCCGAUCCGGGGAGGUAGUGACAAUAAAUACUGAUACAGGGCUCUUUCGGGUCUUGUAAUUGGAAUGAGUACAAUUUAAAUCCCUUAACGAGGAACAAUUGGAGGGCAAGUCUGGUGCCAGCAGCCGCGGUAAUUCCAGCUCCAAUAGCGUAUAUUAAAGUUGUUGCAGUUAAAAAGCUCGUAGUUGAACCUUGGGCCUGGCUGGCCGGUCCGCCUCACCGCGUGCACUGGUCCGGCCGGGCCUUUCCCUCUGGGGAUCCCCAUGUCCUUUGCUGGAUGUGGCGGGGAACCAGGACGUUUACUGUGAAAAAAUUAGAGUGUUCAAAGCAGGCCUAUGCUCGGAUACAUUAGCAUGGAAUAAUAGAAUA